rnacentral:ribozyme from 1 species
GAACAGCAACAAAGCAGCAACAGCAGCAGCAACAGUGGGCGUCUCCCGGAAAACGCCGCUCGCAGCAAGACAAAGCAGGCUUGCAACGUGUCAAAGCGCUGCCAUUCAUGCAAGACACUUGC